GGAAGAGAUUGGCUGAUCUCGAAUGGCUCGGGCCAAUGGAGGGUUGGCCUGGAAAGGGGCGGGACUCUUACCUGUGCCUUUGAAAUUGGACUUGGGUUGUUUGAAGCCGAAUCUUUCCUUCUGAGCUCGCACGUCUCCACUUACAUCUCGCGGACAUCAUGAGCAACCAGCUAGUUCGAGAAGACUAUAACCAGGCCCGUCCUCGGCGACCUAGGGCCAAACCCCAGGAAAAAGGCCCUCUGCGGUUCCUGGUCGAGGCUCGUCUCGUGGGAGCCCUCAUAGGUGAGUGGUUCAGUGGCCAAAUCCUUUUUAUCUCCCCAGCCUUUCUCGUGUCCCCUACCCCAUCCCUGGGGGAGGGGGGUCCUCUCCCCACCCCUCCGUGCCGGGAAAGCCUCGGGACGUGAGCCAGAGCUCCCGGCUGCUGCCCACGUGGCGCCUCCGCGGUUCUGCCUCCUCUGCCCUUGCUUCUCAAGCAGCCCGGGAUGCUCGGCUCCUCCACCCUGGUGCUUUCUCGGGAACCCUCUCUUUUACUCCCCUCCCCUUUCUGUUGUGGCUUGGGUUUCCUCGGUACCCCACUAGAGCUUUGCCGCGUACUAAGUAGGCGCUUUCUGAAUGCUUGUUGGAUUUGCACAGGUUUGAAAGGAUCGAGGAUACGCGCAAUGGAGACUCUUUCGGGAGCUCAGAUUAAAAUAGAUCUCUAUGGUCAAGAGGAAGACGGUGAAAAACCGGAAAAAGCGGAGGUACUAGUUUUUGGAAGCAGCCCCAGUAGAAUAAGGGCAAAAGAACUGGUUGAUUGUAUCAUCCGAUGGUAUCCACCCGCCUCCCCUGAUGCUGCAGAUGAAGCACAGAAGGCCGUUGCCCAGAUGUCCAUUCAGGAAAAGAAGUAAUAUGUAGCCCAGUUAGUUUUUUGUUAAUUUUAUAUAAAUAAAUUAUGUUUCCGUUUUUUUUCUGUUUUUCUU
rnacentral:lncRNA from 1 species